AUUGAACGCUGGCGGCAGGCCUAACACAUGCAAGUCGAGCGGAGCGGCGGACGGGUGCGUAAUGCUUAGGAAUCUGCCUGUUAGUGGGGGAUAACGUCAGGAAACGGGAGCUAAUACCGCAUACUAUCAGAAUAGCCUAGGCCGGCAUAGCUAGUUGGUGGGGUAAAGGCAUACCCAGGCGACGAUCCGUAACUGGUCUGAGAGGAUGAUCAGCCACACUGGAACUGAGACACGGUCCAGACUCCUACGGGAGGCAGCAGUGGGGAAUAUUGGACAAUGGGCGAAAGCCUGAUGCAGCCAUGCCGCGUGUAUGAAGAAGGUCUUCGGGUUGUAAAGCACUUUAAGUUGGGAGGCGUUACCCACAGAAUAAGCACCGGCUAACUUCGUGCCAGCAGCCGCGGUAAUUC
rnacentral:rRNA from 1 species